rnacentral:rRNA from 1 species
GGGUCUGCGUUUCAUUAGCUUGUUGGUAGGGUAAUGGCCUACCAAGGCAACGAUGAGUAGCUGGUCUGAGAGGAUGAUCAGCCACACUGGAACUGAAACACGGUCCAGACUCCUACGGGAGGCAGCAGUGGGAAUAUUGCGCAAUGGGCGAAAGCCUGACGCAGCAACGCCGUGUGAGGGAUGAAGGCUUUCGGGUCGUAAACCUCUGUCGGAAGGGAAGAACGGGCAUUGGUCUAAUAGGCCUUUGUUUUGACGGUACCUUUAGAGGAAGCACCGGCUAACUCCGUGCCAGCAGCCGCGGUAAUACGGAGGGUGCAAGCGUUAUUCGGAAUUACUGGGCGUAAAGCGCACGUAGGCCGCUUUGUAAGUCAGGGGUGAAAUCCCACGGCUCAACCGUGGAACUGCCUUUGAAACUGCAGAGCUUGAAUCCUGGAGAGGGUGGCGGAAUUCCUGGUGUAGGAGUGAAAUCCGUAGAUAUCAGGAGGAACACCGGUGGCGAAGGCGGCCACCUGGACAGGUAUUGACGCUGAGGUGCGAAAGUGUGGGGAGCAAACAGGAUUAGAUACCCUGGUAGUCCACACCGUAAACGAUGAAUACUAGAUGCCGGAC